rnacentral:tRNA from 1 species
ACAUCGGUGGCACAGUGGUUAGUGCAGUCUGCCGGAAUCAGAAAGACGCGAGUUCAAUUCCCGUCCGAUGUC